rnacentral:rRNA from 1 species
AGUGAACGCUGGCGAUAGGCCUAACACAUGCAAGUCGAACGGCAGCACAGUAAGAGCUUGCUCUUACGGGUGGCGAGUGGCGGACGGGUGAGGAAUACAUCGGAAUCUACUUUUUCGUGGGGGAUAACGUAGGGAAACUUACGCUAAUACCGCAUACGACCUACGGGUGAAAGCAGGGGAUCUUCGGACCUUGCGCGAUUGAAUGAGCCGAUGUCGGAUUAGCUAGUUGGCGGGGUAAAGGCCCACCAAGGCGACGAUCCGUAGCUGGUCUGAGAGGAUGAUCAGCCACACUGGAACUGAGACACGGUCCAGACUCCUACGGGAGGCAGCAGUGGGGAAUAUUGGACAAUGGGCGCAAGCCUGAUCCAGCCAUACCGCGUGUGUGAAGAAGGCCUUCGGGUUGUAAAGCCCUUUUGUUGGGAAAGAAAAGCAGCAGGUUAAUACCCCGCUGUUCUGACGGUACCCAAAGAAUAAGCACCAGCUAACUUCGUG